rnacentral:lncRNA from 12 species
CCCAAGGGCUGUGUCUAAGAAAGGAGCUGAACCUGGAGUGCUCCCAGCAGGGACUGAGUGCAGUGUAGGCUCUGGAUGUACCUGGGUGCAACUGAAGACAAGGAUUUCCCAGCUGGAAAGGGACCCACUAGCACAAAAGCUGUUCACAGAAUGCAAGAAGACUUGAAGCAAGGACACCAUUAGCGCUGCCAUGCAUUGCUCACCCAAUCCAAGAGCUGGAAAUUAUGAU